UCCCGCUUAGCUCAGUGGUAGAGCGCGUCACUAGUACCAGCUGGAUGCAGCGUACAUGAUGAGGUCAGUUGUUCAAAUCAGCUAGUGGGAA